AUGCCGAGGUGUUUAUUUAAAUACAAUCAUUAAAAAGAGCAUCGAUGUACCUUUUAAUUCUCCUGCUGCUCCUUUAAGCCUUUUUUUACUUUCAAAGCAUUUUCUCCUUUGAUCCCACAAACAGCGAGUCCAACCCCACCGCGUUCACUCUCCCACUCCCCACAUCCACAGGAGAGGAGAGUCGGAAAACACAGCUUCCUUUUUAAAGACGGAUCUGACUGAGUUCAAAGAAAAAAGUUCUCUGGAAAGGAAAAGAAAGAGAGAAUUGGCACAAAAAAAAACGAUGUAACACUGUGCAAAAAAAAUAAAGGAGGGUUUCUUAUUUCCUUCAAUGGGAAAUGAAAACUACAGAAUCAAAAGAGGGCAGGUAGAAAAGAUUAGAUAAAAUGAAAGGUGUUUUAAGACGGGGAGGUGUGUGUGUGUGUGUGUGUGAUAUUUACAUUUUAAACUGAUGCUCUCACCCAGAGUGAUGUGCAAUGAGUGCAACAUGAGAGUGCACUCCAAUUCCUCAAUCUGUAAUAAUACCUCAACGCUCGAAUGACUCUGUCAGAUGCAGAAGAGCUGGAAGAGAAAGUCCAGAAGCAAGAGAGGAUUUAGCAUGUGGAAGCUGGUAGAGGCAGCGACGAGUUUACGAGUUUACGAGUGUACGAGUACGUUUAUCCUGAUGGGAUGUAGCUCUAAGGUUAUGAGUGACUGGUGCAGUCUUUAAAGGGGAUUGGGAGGUAAUUACUACAGUGCUGAGGAAACGUGAGAGAUAAGAGUGGAGAGGUGAAUCUGUUGCAGCAGGGAGGGAAAAGCAAAACAUUUCGUGGGAGGAAGACCAACAUGAUUAAGGAAAAGUGAAGGUGAAGAGCCCUCCAACAAGGACAAGGCGAAAGAGAGAGACAGAGAGGAGAGGGAGAAGAAGGUCAAAGACGGAGAGAGAGAAAAGGAGAA